rnacentral:rRNA from 1 species
AGUUGUUGGUGGAGUAAAUCCAUGAGUAACGUAGCUAACGCGUGAAGUUGACCGCCUGGGGAGUACGGUUGCAAGAUUAAAACUCAAAUGAAUUGACGGGGGCCCGCACAAGCGGUGGAUUAUGUGGAUUAAUUCGAUGCAACGCGAAAAACCUUACCUGGCCUUGACAUGUACGGAACUUUCCAGAGAUGGAUUGGUGCCUUCGGGAACCGUAACACAGGUGCUGCAUGGCUGUCGUCAGCUCGUGUCGUGAGAUGUUGGGUUAAGUCCCGCAACGAGCGCAACCCUUGCCAAUAAUUGCCAUCAUUUAGUUGGGCACUUUAUUGGGACUGCCGGUGACAAACCGGAGGAAGGUGGGGAUGACGUCAAGUCCUCAUGGCCCUUAUGGCCAGGGCUUCACACGUAAUACAAUGGUCGGUACAGAGGGUAGCCAACCCGCGAGGGGGAGCCAAUCCCAGAAAGCCGAUCGUAGUCCGGAUUGUUCUCUGCAACUCGAGAGCAUGAAGUCGGAAUCGCUAGUAAUCGCGGAUCAGAAUGUCGCGGUGAAUACGUUCCCGGGCCUGGUACACACCGCCCGUCACACCAUGGGAGUGGGUUUUACCAGAAGUAGUUAGUCUAACCUUCGGGGGGACGAUUACCACGGUAGUAUUCAUGACUGGGGUGAAGUCGUAACAAGGUAGCCG